UUGCUACUGUUGGGGGAAAACGAAACAUUUCUUGCAAACAAGAAAAUGGAAGAAAAAGAAAAUCUAUCGGGCUUUCUAUCAGACGAUUUACAGAGGGAAGUGCAGAUGCCUCCAUGUGCGUCGGCUUCUUUGGGGGUCACAGUCUAUUCCAGAGAGCCAAAACGCGUCAUUUUACGAAGUGUAACAUUUCCAAACAUAACGCAUCAAAUCGAUGGCUGUACAGGCUCCAUCCACAAAGACUCAGCACACGAGGCUCAGCUCUAAGCUCACUCUUCUUGGCAGUUUUAAAACAAGCUGGGCACUGCUUACUUCCCUUCUUUGGUGUAUAUUUUCACUGCUCAUACCUUUCCUCUCCACCAAAACUCCACCAAUUGCCCGAGACACCUCUUUCGUCCCCCUGCCCGAGUGGAGACAGCGGCUGAGCCGAUAAAGGACCACUGGAAUUAACUGCUGGCUAUGGGAACGGCCAGGGAGGAUCAGUGAGGAAGUUUAGUAAACUUGGAACAGCUGCUUCUUAGAAGCCAGCGUGUUUUAGCCGAGCUUUAACCUUAUUCUCUCCCGAGCAGCGUGUUGAUGUUUCGCCUCUUGCUCACUGCAAACAAGGCAGGGAGCGGCGUGCGCCGAGGUGCCCGUGUGGCUGCUCUCACCCGCUAUUCGCACAGGUUCACUGCUCUCCGGGGGUCAGUCCCGGGGACCGAACGGACGCGGAGUCUCUCCUCUCGCCCCAGCUCCGGCCCAGCUCUGACGGUGCCUCUCCUUCGAGCGAGGCAAAGGAGCCGGCAGGGACCUGCAGGUUCUCGCCAGCCGAGUGCCCCCGGACCCGCAGCAAGGGCCGGGCACCAGCGAGAGGGGCCUUGGGAGCCGCCGGCUGCAGGGCAGCGCUGUCCGCGGC